AGCGAUGUGUUUUUGACUAGUCAGACUGUUCAGGAUGAACACAUAAGUGGGUUAUAGACGUUGCGGAUCAUGCAGGCGUUUGCCGAGAUUAACAUUCACCGGACAAGCUGAAUAUGUGAACAAGUUACCGAUCCAGACAAGCAAAACAAGACAACGAAGCAAAUUAAGCAGGUGUUCAUAUUCUCUCUUUGACUGAACGGCAUUGUGGUCCCCGUCCAUCGUCAUGACCACCAGCACCUCACUUUUACCCAUCUCCUCAAGAGCCGCUGCCAGGGAGACGAGGUCAGCGUCGCCUUGGUGAGAUGCUUCCCACAGGUCCAACAGAACACCUGUGGGGCUUGGCUUUGUGGCAAAGUAGUUCAGAUACCUGAAGGAUGAAGAGACAGUGGAAAGGAUGAGGAGACAUAGAGAAACCACGAGAAGAAGACUGGGCUUUGGGCCUGGCAGAAACCACUAGAAAAAGACUGGGCCUGGCAGAAACCACUAGAAGAAGUCUACAUUUUGGAGGAACGUCUUAACAGCAGCUAGGGCCUCCUGUUCCUUGUAUUGUAAAGGAGAGCAGGACUCCUUAUUGGAAGAGCUGAGUUAGUAAAACCUCCUAUAGUAACAUGACCCAGCUGUCAAGUGGGAGUUUUCACCAAGUUGUCUGGGUAACUGACAUUCCUUGAUUACCUACAGUAUGUCUCUUGGAUCUGUGUCUUUAUGAAUCCUUACAUUCCCUGUCUCCUGGAUCAGUGUCCGUAUGAAUCCUUACAUUCCUUGUCUCCUGGAUCUGUGUCUGUAUGAAUCCUUACAUUCCCUGUCUCCUGGAUCUGUGUCUGUAUGAAUCCUUACAUUCCCUGUCUCCUGGAUCUGUGUCUAUAUGAAUCCUUACAUUCCCUGUCUCCUGGAUCUGUGUCUGUAUGAAUCCUUACAUUCCUUGUCUCCUGUAUCUUUGUCUGUAUGGAUCCUUACAUUCCCUGUCUCCUGGAUCUGUGUCUGUAUGAAUCCUUACAUUCCCCGUCUCCUGGAUCUGUGUCUAUAUGAAUCCUUACAUUCCUUAGAUGAUACUUGUUCCCAUAAAUAUUAUUAAACCUGAAAUAAUGAA